CAGGCCUAACACAUGCAAGUCGAGCGGACUUAUCCUUCGGGAUAGGUUAGCGGCGGACGGGUGAGUAACACGUAGGCAACCUGCCUGUAAGAUCGGGAUAACUACCGGAAACGGUAGCUAAGACCGGAUAGCUGGUUUCUCCGCAUGGGGGAAUCAUGAAACACGGGGCAACCUGUGGCUUACGGAUGGGCCUGCGGCGCAUUAGCUAGUUGGUGGGGUAACGGCCCACCAAGGCGACGAUGCGUAGCCGACCUGAGAGGGUGAUCGGCCACACUGGGACUGAGACACGGCCCAGACUCCUACGGGAGGCAGCAGUAGGGAAUCUUCCGCAAUGGGCGCAAGCCUGACGGAGCAACGCCGCGUGAGUGAUGAAGGUUUUCGGAUCGUAAAGCUCUGUUGCCAAGGAAGAACGCCUCGGAGAGUAACUGCUCUGAGGGUGACGGUACUUGAGAAGAAAGCCCCGGCUAACUACGUGCCAGCAGCCGCGGUAAUACGUAGGGGGCAAGCGCUGUCCGGAAUUAUUGGGCGUAAAGCGCGCGCAGGCGGUCUUUUAAGUUUGGUGUUUAAGCCCGGGGCUCAACCCCGGUUCGCACUGAAAACUGGGAGACUUGAGUGCAGGAGAGGAAAGCGGAAUUCCACGUGUAGCGGUGAAAUGCGUAGAGAUGUGGAGGAACACCAGUGGCGAAGGCGGCUUUCUGGACUGUAACUGACGCUGAGGCGCGAAAGCGUGGGGAGCAAACAGGAUUAGAU
rnacentral:rRNA from 1 species